CAAUCACUUCCGGAUUUGUGGCAUUUGGGAGCCAAAACAUCCGAGUUCCAGCGUUCGGGAUCCAAGGUAUGACUGUACAGUGUAGUGGUUAGCAUGGCAGACUAGGAGUGUGUGACCCAGGUUCAAAUUUCCACUCCAACCUGAGCCAGCUUAGCCUAGCAGUUCCUUAGAUCUUGUCAAGACCUACCAAUCGUCUACGGGUGGUUCAAUACCCUGCGGGUGCUAUCUGCUUACCUAAAAAUUAUAUAUUUAUAAAUUCCCACUCGAAAAUGAAGCUCACUGGGUGACUUUGGGCUAUCCUCUCUCUCUCUCUCUCUCUCUCUCUCUCUCUCUCUCUCGCUCAUCCUAGUCUGAAUUCAUGUGGUAGUGGUUGUAUCAAAAUAGUCAAUGGAGAACUAUGCAUGCAGGCCUUGAUAUCUUAGAAGAAAGGUGAGAUAUAAAUCUAAUGUACGUUUCCGAGCACAAUUCAAAGUGUUGGUGAUGACCUUUAAAGCCCUAAACGGCCUCGGCCCAGUAUACCUGAAGAAGCAUUUCCACCCCCAAUGUUCUGCCCGGACACUGAGGUCCAGCUCCAAGGGCCUUCUGGCGGUUCCCUCACUGCAGGAGGCAAAGUUACAGGGAACCAGGCAGAGGGCCUUCUCGGUAGUGGUGCCUGCCCUGUGGAACACCCUCCCAUCAGAUGUCAAAGAAAUAAACAACUACCUGACAUUUAGAAGACAUCUGAAGGCAGCCCUGUUUAGGGAAGUUUUUAAUGACUGAUGUUUUAAUGUAUUUUUAAUCUUUUGUUGGAAGCUGCCCAGAGUGGCUGGUGAAACCCAGCCAGAUGGGCGGGGUAUAAGUAAUAGAUUAUUAUUAUUAUUAUUAUUAUUAUUAUUAUUAUUAAAAAUAUAGUGUGUUGGAUUGUUGGAGCCACAAAGAUAGUUGAACUUCCUUCCCACUGAAAGCAAUGAAACACUUUAGACAUCCCAUUUAUUUCAGCGAGACCUGAGCGCAACUCACAUAGUCUAGAUCCAAGCCAAUUUCAAUAACACUGAAUUUUGAAAACUCAUUGUCAUUGACCUCGCUCACAAGAAUUGGGACCGCCGUAACUGUUGAUUGAUGUGGCUGUCUAAAUAUAUACACUUCUUCUAUUAAGCAAUUUGGAACUUUGCUCUGACUUAAAUAACUUUCCCGCAGAAGGAAUGGGCAGAGUUGAGAGGAGGCUGAUCUGAAGUCAAUAAUGGUUUGAUUCUGUCCCGCGGGGAUCUACAACUGUGCCACUAACAAGAGAAGAUUUUUAUAUGCUGCCUUUGCCAAUCUCUUCUCAUCCUUUGACCUUAUCAGCAGAAGAUCAGCUUUGGUACAAGCUAUUUCAAAUUAAUAUUAAUAGAUGUCUGCAGCUAUUGAUCCAGGCCCUUUAGUUUGAUACAAUUCUCAAAGCAUGAAUGGACCACUAUGGGCAAUUUGGAGGCAACUGUCCUAUGUGUGUUCAUUUUCUUUACUAUUUGAGUGGUAGUCAGUUAUUCCUUGUCUUAUUGACUUAAAGACCAGGAGGGAGGAAAGGCACCUAUGUUUUUAAUGAAAAUACCAUUUGGUUCCACCGACUAUUAAAAAUCAGAUUCAUGAUGAAUUCCAAAGAGUUUCCAGUGACUUCCCAAGUUUUAUCAGGGGCUAUUAAAUAACAGCAAAUGCCUUUAGUCUAAAUAUAUUUUGUUACCAGGGGGGCAUUAUAUAAUGGUGUAAUAGUGCUGGGCUGGACUUUCAAAAUGCUAAAAAUCUGUCCAAUUGGGGAGGAGGGUUGAAUGAAACAAGUGUCAAUAAUUUGUGGGGGGUGUCUACACCAGUGGCGUGCCUAGAAAAAUCGUAUUUCCCCCCUACUACUCUCCACCAAUUAAUGAGAAAAUAAAUUGCAUUAGGAAAUGGUCAAAUGAGGAAGAGAAAAAUUGACAAUCUUCAAAUCUUCUCUGGAGAACUGGGGGGAAACCCUGAACAGAUUUUUCUGUUUUUGAUUAAAACAGAAUAAAUCCUGCUGUUAUGCGUUAAUUGACAUAUUUGGGGGUUUCUCUUAUUUGAGCUUCCAAGUUGGGACAGGGGAAACAAAGCAUGAACAGAAUUAACAUAUAAUUGGCUAUUAAAUAAAAAUGUGUGUGCAUGGUGUGCGUGGUUGUUGUUUUUUAAAGAAACAUUUAUUUGAAAGUAUUCUCAGCAGAAGCCUUCCUCCGUACUGCUUGUGUUCUCAGAUGCUGCAGACAUGAUGAGACAACCUGAUGCUGAGAUUCUGUGGCUCAACGCUGCACUCUUUGCAGGAGCAGCUGCUACAGCCUAUAAAAGUG